CUUGAUUCAUGUGGUAUAGUAUGAUGUGAAAUGUUGUGAUGUGCCAUGAUCUCAUGUACGUUCAUGUCAUUAACCAUUUCCUUGCCAUCCAAUAACUACAUUUUAUAAGCAGGUUACUAGCUUGUUUAACUGCUAUAGGCAUAUUGCUGAGGAGUCAGUAAUGAAUGUAGUGAGGGAUGAAGUUAUAAAAAUAGAAUUAGACAGAAUACAUAUGUGAUGAAUCGUAAAAAUGUGUUGUCC